rnacentral:rRNA from 1 species
AGAGUUUGAUCCUGGCUCAGAUUGAACGCUGGCGGCACGCUUUACACUUCCAAGUCGAGCGGCAGCGCGGGGGUGCUUGCACCCCUGGCGGCGAGCGGCGGACGGGUGAGUAAUACAUGGGAACAUGCCCGACAGUGGGGGAUAACCCCGGGAAACCGGGGCUAAUACCGCAUUCGCUCUACGGAGGAAAGCGGGGGAUCUUCGGACCUCGCGCUGACGGAGUGGCCCAUGUCCGAUUAGCUUGUUGGCGGGGUAACAGCCCACCAAGGCGACGAUCGGUAGCUGGUCUGAGAGGAUGAUCAGCCACACCGGGACUGAGACACGGCCCGGACUCCUACGGGAGGCAGCAGUGGGGAAUAUUGGACAAUGGGGGAAACCCUGAUCCAGCGAUGCCGCGUGAGUGAAGAAGGCCUUCGGGUUGUAAAGCUCUUUCGCGGGGGAAGAAACGACGGCGGCGAAUAACCGCCGGCACUGACGGUACCCCGAGAAGAAGCACCGGCUAACUACGUGCCAGCAGCCGCGGUAAUACGUAGGGUGCGAGCGUUUAAUCGGAAUUACUGGGCGUAAAGCGUGUGUAGGCGGCCAUGCAAGUCGGAUGUGAAAGCCCCGGGCUCACCUAGGAAUUGCGCUUGUGACUGGCGGGAUUGAUGAACCGUCACCGGAAGCUUAAAUUGGGUAGUUGCAGGAAAUGAAUCCGGUGCAGGAAUGGAACACCGAUGGCGUAAGGCGGCUCUUUGGCGAACUACGUGGACAUAAAGCUGGGGCAACAGGAUAAUACCUGUAUCCACCCCUAACGAGUCGUAGUAUUGAGCAGUUCAGGGGGAAGUAACGGUUAAGGGACCGCCUGGGGAGUACGGUCGCAAGAUAAACUCAAAGGAAUUGACGGGGACCCGCACAAGCGGUGGAUGAUGUGGUUAUUCGAUGCAACGCGAAAAACCUUACCCGCUCUUGACAUGUUCGGAAUCCCGCAGAGAUGUGGGAGUGCCUUUCAGGAACCGAAACACAGGUGUUGCAUGGCUGUCGUCAGCUCGUGUCGUGAGAUGUUGGGUUAAGUCCCGCAACGAGCGCAACCCUUGUCGUUAGUUGCCAGCAUUUAGUUGGGCACUUUAACGAAACUGCCGGUGACAAACCGGAGGAAGGUGAGGACGACGUCAAGUCAUCAUGGCCCUUAUGAGCGGGGCUACACACGUCAUACAAUGGCCGGUACAAUGGGCAGCCAACCUGCAAAGGGGAGCGAAUCUCAAAAAGCCGGUCGUAGUCCGGAUCGCGGUCUGCAACUCGACCGCGUGAAGUCGGAAUCGCUAGUAAUCGCGGAUCAGCAUGUCGCGGUGAAUACGUUCCCGGGUCUUGUACACACCGCCCGUCAAACCAUGGGAGUGAAAGAUACCAGAAGCGGGUAGUUUAACCCUUCGGGGAGGACGCUCACUAAGGUAUGUUUCAUGACUGGGGUUAAGUCGUAACAAGGUAGCCGUA